rnacentral:lncRNA from 10 species
UAGCAUUUGUAGUGCUUACUAUGUGCUACACACUGCUCUAGGUGCUUUACCUGUAAUAACUCAUAUAAUCCUCACAAUGCCAUAUGAAGAAAUUUAUUUUAUUGUCCCCAUUUUGUAGAUGAAGGAACUGAGGCACAGAGAGGUCAAAUAACCUGCUGAAAGUUACAUAGCUUGGGAGAAAAUUCUGUGCUAUGUAGUCCAGCUCCAGAGCCUGUGCUUUUUAAAUCAGAAAACAAAGAAUAAUAAUUAAGUACAAUACCAAUAUGUUUGCAGUGAGUUUGUGUUAAUACAAGAAUUUGAUUACUAUUAAAUUCAAGAGCAUGUUUUAAAAAAUUCAUCUGUUUUUUGGAAAUAUAUGUAUGCAAAUUUAAAUUCAUUUUCCCCUUUUAGUUUUUCAGUUAUGGGACAAAAAUAUUAUAUCAAAACACUGAAGCUUUGCAAUCUAAAUUCUUUUCACCUCUUCAAAAAGCGAUGCUACCACCUAAUAGUUUUCAAGGAAAAGUGGCAUUCAUUACUGGGGGAGGUACUGGCCUUGGUAAAGGAAUGACAACUCUUCUGUCCAGCCUAGGUGCUCAGUGCGUGAUAGCCAGCCGGAAGAUGGAUGUUUUGAAAGCUACCGCAGAACAAAUUUCUUCUCAAACUGGAAAUAAG